UCUUCCCCCUUGUUCCUUUGGAAAGACACUUCUUCAGCCUGUUUAUUAACACUAGCGCACAGCACAUAGCUGCAUCGAUCAUCUUCGAUUAUGACUUGUUUAAUUCAGCUCUGUUCCCUUCAAUUUCUGCAUUUCGUGACAGAGUUACUCUGCCGCAGACAUCGAUUCAUCAGUUCAAUUUCCUUCUCUGGAAAGGCAAACAAAAUGAUCGUCUCCAAAGCAAACUAGUGAAGAUCGAGGUUCUUCUUAUUUCGGGUAACUCAUUACUCUCAGCCCUAACUCUAACUUUCUGUUUGAUUAUUGCUACUUCAAAAUGUUUCGUGUCCAGUCUUGAGGUGGCUUCAUGGUGUAGCUAAGGCACUUAAUGGUAGCUGAAGGAUGCGUUAUUAUCAUGGAGAUUGUCUAUAAAAUGGACUUUUCUCUACUGGGCUUCAUCCUUUGCUCAAUAGUUCUGGGCUUUGGUAUGUACUGAAUUUCUUCCAUUGUUUUCUAUUUGUGGCUGUGUUUGUAUGUGUCAUAUGUGUGCUAUACAGAAAUUGAUCACUUGCCAAUGUAAAAGGGUCUUUGCUUCUCCUGGUCAGCCCAGUGUUCAUUGUCUUUCUAGAAGACAAAAAGAAAGUAAUUACAUGGUCGCCAAUUAUCACUGACAAAAUUUCUAAAUUUUAAAACAGUCAUUAUAUUUUUAUCUUUAUAGUUCUAAGUUUAAAUAUGGACAUUUGGCCUUGAUAGAGUUCUGCCACUUAGCAUUGGCCUUGAUACCACUUCCGCAAAUGAUUCCAAAUCAUUGGCCUUGAUGCAGCUCUGCCACUUAGCAUGAUGAAUUAUUUUUUAUUGCAUGGAGGAUACAUUUGUUAGACCUUUCAAUAUCUGUCUGUGUUUUAAUGUCUUUUAAAUAUAGUCUUCAUUUUCCCUUUUCCAUAAUAUUUUGUUAGGGCUUUGAAAGAUAGAACGAUGCUUCUUUCACUUUUAUUUUCAUUUUACAGCCACUUUAUUUCUAUCCGGAUGAUAAAUUAACAUGGAAGUGGAGGUGGAUGCCAUGGAACUUUGUUUUGGGACAACUGGGAUACCCCAGCCAACACGGAAUAAGAACUCAAUUAUCAUACUAAUGUUGGCUUUCGACAUAUCAUGUUUGCAAUUGCUGUAGGCAUUUAUGGGGCAACCUCAGCAUUUAGAUCCAUCAAAUGGCAUGUUGGGUGAACAAAUGCAAAUGUCCUCACUUCCAACUUGAAGCAUGCUAUCUUUCUUUUCCGAAGUUAUGUGAUCGUCAAGCCAGCAGAUAAUAUCAUCAAGAACUUGAAAAAUCAUGUCAUCUGGCUCACCUUCAAGGAGAGAGUGAAAAGCAUCCUUAUAAAGCUUAAGUUUCUUGUCUGAACUAAUUGCCUUCUCAUACAGUGCCUUGCUUACUGAUGGAUCUGUUACAACAUCUACUUCUCCGUGCAAGAUUAGUAAUGGCACUGAAACCUGCAAAUCAUACUUAUUUUAUUUUUUUGUUCUCCUAAUUAUGAUUGCAUCAAGUUUUGAUGAUUGACAGUAAUUGUUUGAAUGCUUCUGGUUUAUGUAGAAGGUUGAUUUUUUCAUGUUAAUUAAUGAAUAAAAGAGGGAUGAAGGAAGCAAUACAUGCCUGCUGCAAGCGUUGUUCUAGCUCUUGGGUAGUUCGUAGACAUUCCAAAGCAGUCCCCAGGCGAGCUGUAUCCUUGUAAGCAAUAACAUUAUAUGCUGCCUGCAAUUACAACAGAAGAGCACAUGGAACUAAUCACCUCAUACUUUCAAAUCAAUCACUAUUAGUACAAAGAUUAAUUAAUUACCA